CUCUAAUAGAAAAUCAUUAUUAGUAAGACUCUGCACAAUGAUCAUUAAAUAGCCGCAAUUUUAUGUGCUAAGGUAGCAUAAUCAUUUGCCUUUUAAUUCAAGGCUAGAAUGAAAGGUUUAACACUUUAAAUUCUGUAAUCUUAUGAUUAUUUGAAAUUUUAAUAUAAAUAAAAAUAUUUAUUAUAUUAGGGGGACGACAAGACCCUAUUGAGCUUUACAUGUUUGUUUUUCUGGGGUGGAAAAUAAACUAAAUCUUUUUUUAUUCUUUUCAAAACAACAAAAACCUUUAAUUUUAAGCAAGUUACCAUAGGGAUAACAGCACAAUUUUUUCUUAAAGAUCGUAUUUAAGAAAAAGUUUAUGACCUCGAUGUUGAAUUAUUAUUCUUUUAUUUUGAAGCAAAAAUCUAAAAGA
rnacentral:rRNA from 1 species